rnacentral:tRNA from 1 species
UCCACAGUAGCUCAAUGGUAGAGCAUCCGGCUGUUAACCGGAGGGUUGCAGGUUCGAGCCCUGCCUGUGGAGCUA